CGCGUAGGCGGCUUUGGAAGUCAGGCGUGAAAUCCCCGGGCUCAACCUGGGAAUUGCGCUUGAUACUCUGGAGCUUGAGUUCGGGAGAGGAGAGUGGAAUUCCCAGUGUAGAGGUGAAAUUCGUAGAUAUUGGGAAGAACACCGGUGGCGAAGGCGGCUCUCUGGACCGAUACUGACGCUGAGGCGCGAAAGCGUGGGGAGCAAACAGGAUUAGAUACCCUGGUAGUCCACGCUGUAAACGAUGUGUGCUAGACGUUGGGAGGCUUAGCCUUUCGGUGUCGGAGCAAACGCGAUAAGCACACCGCCUGGGGAGUACGGCCGCAAGGUUAAA
rnacentral:rRNA from 1 species